CCUCGCGCUUUAUAGCCGAGGAACCGACAGUCAUCCGCUUGCAAAUAUAUGUUCGCCUUUAACCGGGUGGCUAUAUGAGUAAGCAAUUUACCUUGAGAAAAACAGAGUGUUCCAGGCAGGUUUGUCCGGAAUGCAUUAGCAUGGAAUAAUAGAAUAUGACUGAAGUCGAUUUAUUGGUUUAAGGCUUUAGUAAUGAUUAAUAGGAACAGUCGGGGGCAUUGGUACUUGACAGUCAGAGGUGAAAUUCUAGGAUUUGUCAAAGACUAACAAAAUGCGAAAGCAUUUGCCAAGGAUGUUUUCAUUAAUCAAGAACGAAAGUUAGGGGAUCAAAGACGAUCAGAUACCGUCCUAGUCUUAACUAUAAACUAUACCGACUCGGAUUCAGAUGAAUCAAAAAGUUCAUUUGGGACCGUAGGAGAAAUCAAAGUUUUUUGGGUUCUGGG
rnacentral:rRNA from 1 species